GGGGGUGACUGGCUUCGACGGAUGCCUGUCGGUCCCGGGAGAGCGAGCCGAGAAACGCUAGGUCAUCUCGUUAAUCCGUCCUGGCAAUCGUUUAGGUGCCGACGACAACCUGGCCCUGGCGGCCUAACUAGCCGCCUGUCCGCCUUCGCUUGCCUGGAGUGGGGGAUCGGGCAUCGCAUCCAGGCUUCACCGGUCGACUUCCCGCCGCGGGUCGAUCGGGACAACUCAGCGGUGUACGGGCGCCAAGCCGCGUGGUUCCGGAGUGCGGCGUCCCGACAAUGAGCCGGAACCUACGCUCGUAGCGCUCUCGAGGUCGAGACAUUCGGACGCGGGGUUCGAUUCCCCGCCACCUCCACUU
rnacentral:tmRNA from 1 species